rnacentral:rRNA from 1 species
CAGUCGCCACGGGAAUACGUAGGUGGCAAGCGUUGUCCGGAAUUAUUGGGCGUAAAGGGCUCGCAGGCGGUUUCUUAAGUCUGAUGUGAAAGCCCCCGGCUCAACCGGGGAGGGUCAUUGGAAACUGGGAAACUUGAGUGCAGAAGAGGAGAGUGGAAUUCCACGUGUAGCGGUGAAAUGCGUAGAGACGUGGAGGAACACCAGUGGCGAAGGCGACUCUCUGGUCUGUAACUGACGCUGAGGAGCGAAAGCGUGGGGAGCGAGCAGGAUUAGAUACCCCAGUAGUCCCUGUCUCUUAUAA